rnacentral:lncRNA from 10 species
CUCCUUCAAGAACUUUGCCCAACUCCCCAGAGUUGGUCACCCCCUCCCCCACCAUGAGCUCCUAAAGCACUGUGGACUGCCUUCUGACACGCAAUUCGUGGUUUAUGCAGCUAUAUUAGCUGCUCAAGUCAGAGGCCUCCUUCCAUGGAACUUGUCUUGCUCUUCCCCAAGUACCCACACAGAGCCUGGCACAGAGCAGGUGCUGCUUCUGGGAAGAAUCAACAUGUCUGCGAAAGUGCACACAGUCUAAGUGGUUAAAGGAAAAAAAAAGGGCAAUAGGAAAGAUUAAACAACGGUAAAACAUUUCAGUAACAGUCCACCAUGACAACUUAAGACUUGUCAUAAGUGAGCUCAUAAUUUUAUGCUAAAUUAUGUAGCCAAUUCUGUGGAAGCUGACCA